UUGGAGGGCAAGUCUGGUGCCAGCAGCCGCGGUAAUUCCAGCUCCAAUAGCGUAUAUUAAAGUUGUUGCAGUUAAAAAGCUCGUAGUUGAAUUUCGGGAUUCUACCGUUGGUCGGACUAACAAGUCUGUACUGGUGUGUAGAAUUUCUACCUUCUGGGGAAUUAUCAUGUUAUUAAUUUAGCGUGGUGGGAGACCAGGACCUUUACCUUGAAAAAACUAGAGUGUUCAAAGCAGGCUUACGUCUGAAUACAUUAGCAUGGAAUAAUAGAAUAGGACGGUGGUCCUGUUUUGUUGGUUUCUGAAUCACCGUAAUGAUUAAUAGGGAUAGUUGGGGGCAUUAGUAUUCAAUUGUCAGAGGUGAAAUCCUUGAAUUUAUUGAAGACUAACUUCUGCGAAAGCAUUUGCCAAGGAUGUUUUCAUUAAUCAAGAACGAAAGUUAGGGGAUCGAAGACGAUCAGACACCGUCGUAGUCUUAACCAUAGACUAUGCCGACUAGGGAUCGGACGAUGUUAAAUUUUAUUGACUCGUUCGGCGCCUUACGGGAAAC
rnacentral:rRNA from 1 species